AUACACUGGUUUCUCAUUAGAGUGAAUAAAUCUUUUGCCUAUUACUAAAGAUUUUAGUGGAGAGGAACAACCAUGAGUUUCGGUGAAUUUUUUUUAUGGCUGGCUAAUGCUGGUCC